CAAGGAUGAUCGAUCACUCUGGUACCAAACGUCCCCCCCGGUGGCUCGGUGGCUUGCCACCCCCCGGGCGUCGGUCCCCUGGCUGGGGUUUCUAACCGCAGUUCAGGUCCGGCGGGCGUCCCUCCGGCGGCUGGGGCUUUGCCCCUCCCUCGGUUGGGUCGCUGGAAAUUUGUAUCCAACUCAACCCACCCCAAACCUCAACUUAAUCUGAAGCUGUCUGGUGGAUGCGCUCCGGCGCCCCACUCUAACCAAAGACAACUCUCAACAACGGAUAUCUUGGCUCCCGUAUCGAUGAAGAACGCAGCGAAAUGCGAUACGUAGUGUGAAUUGCAGAAUUCCGUGAACCAUCGAAUCUUUGAACGCAAAUUGCGCCCGAGGCCUCGGCCAAGGGCAUGUCUGCCUCAGCGUCGGCUUACCCCCUCGCCCUCCCACCCCAUUGGAGUGGGCGGUGCGGACCUGGCCCUCCCGGCUCUGCUGCCUAUUCAGGCGGCUCCGGGUCGGCUGAAGUGUAGAGGCUUGAGCAUGGACCCCGCUUGUAGGGCAAUGGCUUGGUAGGUAGCCUUCCGGUUACACCGCCUGCCGUGGCCCGAGGGGACUUUGCUGGCGGCCCAGCAGGAAUUCGGUGCGUGCGGUCACCCGCCGCCCGAAAGCUUCAACUUUCGACCUGAGCUCAGGCAAGACUACCCGCUGAACUUAAAGCAUAUAA
rnacentral:rRNA from 1 species